UAGAUCAUUGAUGAGUACUCUGAGGUGUCCAAACCAAGGAUUUUGAUUAAACCCCGUAACUCUGAAGUCCAU
rnacentral:snoRNA from 1 species